ensembl:lncRNA LINC02654 long intergenic non-protein coding RNA 2654
AUCUUCACAUUCCCUUUUCAGGAGGCUGGUAUCUCUCUUUCCCACGUAAGUCCAUCUCUUCAGUUUCAGGGAUGGAGAGAGGAAGAUGUAACCUUGGAAGCGGAAGGACACAAUUUAUAGGAUAAUCCCACUCAUGACAAAAGAGGAAGCUUUGGAGGGUGGAGAAUAACCCAGUUGAAAAUCUACAAGCAAUGCUGUCCACAUCCCAAAUAGACUGGUCAAAAAGCCUUCAUCCCGUCAGUCACUGACAUCAACUUCAUCCAAAUCAGACUCCUAAAAACCCGGCCUAACUUAUGUGUCAUGCAAAGGAUGGCUCUUGGAAAAAUGCAAAGCAGGGGCCGCUAAGGGAGAGAUGUGAAGGUCAAGGAAGCUCUGAGCUCCUGACAGCCGCCCUUCCAGCCUUCUCCUGCCUUCCAUAGAGAGAUGCUAUGGACUCUUGGUCCAGAGACUCAAAUUCAAGGAAAAGAAGAGGCAACAUUUGCAGUGUUGAUCCUUGAGUUGAACAAAGAGUGGUCAGGAGAAGAAACCAACAAGAAAUGUAACCUACCUCCAGAACUCAGGAACUCAGGUACCCUUAAGGAUAUCAGAAACAAUGAAAUAUGGAUUGGCAGAAGCAUCUUCACCACCAUCUUCAGAUGUAAUUAAUGCAGCUGUUGAAUUUGGUUGACUAUCCACCUAUAAUUACCACAUUGCCCAUUACAGAUUUUUGCUGCCUUUUCUUGCCUCCUUUUCAUUUUUACAUCCACUUAUUCCCUACAGAAAUGACAGAUAAUCAGCAUUUUUGUUUUCUUGUUAUGUUGUCCUGAUAGUACAGCUACAAAUGGAUUUGAUGUGCUGAAUAAUGGUCUACUAGGCCUAAAAAUGAAAGUCUAGACCCUUAGUCAAAAAUAACUUGGAUCUAUGUGGUACCAAGAAAAGAGGAAUUAUAAGAAAAAGAAUAUUAGUUUAAUGUUCUGUAAAUUUUUUUCUUAACCUAUUCUGUCCAGUAUUUACUACUUGGCUGCAUUCCUAAAACAUAAAUUUCACAGGGGCAGGAGUCUUUGUCCAUUUUGCUCAUUAAUGUGUUAGGAAUACUAAAAAGAGUGUCUAGCGGGGUAGUCACAUAAUAAAUACCUGUUGCAUGAACAAA